GACCGGAGCUGACCCCUCGCAGCGCGUUUUCUUCUCUUCGAUCUCCCCUUCCUGGCGACGGCGGCGAAAGAGACGGCGGCGAAGGCGACGAAGCGUAAGCUCCCCCUCUCCUCUCUCUUUUCUCCUCCUCAACGGCGGCUGGUAGUGGGUGCCCUAGGCAGGCUCCUGCUUGCCGCGUCCGCCCCCUGGUGGUCGGCCAUGGCCGCGUCCGGCCCCCCUGGCAGUGGAUAACUCGCUUUCCGAUCGUGGGUGCCGUUUAGGCAGGCUCCUGCUCGCCUCUCCCGUCCCCUGGUGGCCGGGUGUGGCCGCGUCCGACCCCUGGUAGUCGAUAAAUCGCUUGAUCCGACGCAUGCACUUGAGUUCGUAGUGCUUCUGGGAUCUAUUUACGUUUCUCCCUUGUUUUUUCCGUCUGUGUUUGGUUUUGGGAUGUGCCCAGUGCUUUUUGUAGUUGCGACAUCGAAUUAGUUUUAGUUUGCAGCUGAAUUUACUUGUGUCAAGCUGGGCGUCGUGAGGAGGGCUGCUGGUGCAAGGUAGAGCCUAAUCAGGAAUUUCGAGGUUUAAUUUGUGAGGGAGCAAAUGUUCUUCCUUCAAAGUUUAUGGAAGAUGCUUUUCGUGAUGGAUACGGAAAAGAAGAUUUGAUGGGAAAAAUAGUUUGUGGAAAAAGAAGAUGAGUUGAUGUAUGUAUUGCUUAUUUUGAAAAAUCUUUAUAAUUUUUAGGAGGCGUUGGACUUUGUUUGUAUUACUUUUUGAAGUAUUGGACUUGUAUAAAUUCUUGGGGUCUUGAAGAAGAAAGUUCUUGUAUAAUUUUUUGACAACUUUGGAUUUGUAUUAUUGUAAAAUUGAUUUCAAAUAUUAAUAGAUGUGUAUAUAUGUUAAAUA